AUUGAACGCUGGCGGCAGGCCUAACACAUGCAAGUCGAGCGGAUGAAGGGAGCUUGCUCCUGGAUUCAGCGGCGGACGGGUGAGUAAUGCCUAGGAAUCUGCCUGGUAGUGGGGGAUAACGUCCGGAAACGGGCGCUAAUACCGCAUACGUCCUGAGGGGGAAAGUGGGGGAUCUUCGGACCUCACGCUAUCAGAUGAGCCUAGGUCGGAUUAGCUAGUUGGUGGGGUAAAGGCCUACCAAGGCGACGAUCCGUAACUGGUCUGAGAGGAUGAUCAGUCACACUGGAACUGAGACACGGUCCAGACUCCUACGGGAGGCAGCAGUGGGAAUAUUGGACAAUGGGCGAAAGCCUGAUCCAGCCAUGCCGCGUGUGUGAAGAAGGUCUUCGGAUUGUAAAGCACUUUAAGUUGGGAGGAAGGGCAGUAAGUUAAUACCUUGCUGUUUUGACGUUACCAACAGAAUAAGCACCGGCUAACUUCGUG
rnacentral:rRNA from 1 species